GCAAAUACCCCUCACCGCCCGGGCGUCCGGUCCUCCCCUCUGGCCUCGCGGGGUUGGCGGGGCGGGUCCGCGGCCGGGCCCGGGAGGGGCGGAGCCCGCGGGAGUGCGGGGAGGAAGGCCGCGCAGGGGUAGGUGGUGCCCGAACCAGGUCCCAGGAGGAGGUGGAGUGUCCGUGUUGGAAGGUGCGGGGACACUGGGCUUAGCGCUUUAUCCGGCGUUACCGCCGAGUCUUCAUCCGGAAACUGGCACUUCCGCUGUGACGGUGGAGGACACUGAAACCUCAGUAACUGCCGGAGGCAGACACACAGCGAGUGGUAGAGUCCUAAAUUGAAUUCCCACGCCGCCACCCUUGGCCCUCCCUCUGCACGGCCUCGCCGCUGCACCCGGACGGGAAGUGUUUGCAAACGUCCUUUGAGCAUCUUUUGUCUCGGCUUUGUAUUCCUUGGCCCUCCGAGCGAAAACAGCUAGGUGGGUGGCCCAGCUCCUGCCCGCUAGGUUGCGUAUACCUGAACCAGUCGCUACAAAUACAAAGCGAAGGGCUCCGCUGAGUGCCCCGCCCCCAGGGAGGGGGGCGUGGCCAUCAGCUGGAGUUGCCGAAUGCCUCGGGAAGCAGGCCGAUUUGAGCUGGGGGUGACCCGGAAGAUCAGCGAAAGGACCUUCCAGAUCUGGGGCGCCAAAGCAAAGACUCACAGGCACAGAUCGCACCGGGAAGCUGAACACAGUCCUUUCAUGCUGCCGUGGAACAGGUGUUGAAAACCCAGAUAGCCGCAGGGAUGGGCGGGAUUCUGCCCUAUCCCUCAGCUCUGCAUUUAAUGGCUGGGAUCCUGGGGAUCUUGUUUUCCUCUGACUGUUGGGAUUCCUGUUACCAUCAUAUGAAUUCUUCCCCCGGCCACAUCACCAUCCCACCAUCUGGAGUUGUGCUAAGGAAUCUGGGUUUAGACACCUGAGUAUCAAGUUCUGUCCCUGAGGAAUUCUCCGACCUUGGUGGACUGUGGACUCUGUUUGGGGUAUCUCUUUUUGGCAUGAUACUCUCCUGACAAAUCUGUACAUAACGUAUAAUAUUUCCAUUUCUGGAAACACCCUGCUGCCUCAAUUCAGAGCCAUCAAGCCUGUACCCGAAAGUGUCUCCCAGCCUUGGGAGCACCCAGGUUCAUUUGGACUCACUGUUUUUUGUUUUGUUUUGUUUUUUUCCGGAAAUAUGUGGCUCUCAGCUCAGGCAAUGUCAAAACAGCCCAGGCCUACAGACCUCCCAGGAGGGCAGAACUUUUUUUUCUUACCCACGAAGCGGGACUCACGUGGUUGGAUAGGAGACCUUGUCUUUAUUUCCGGGAUCUUCCAUAUAAUAUUCACAUGACUCACGUGCCAAGUCGGUUAUGCUGGCGUGGCUUCAUUCCAGGUACCCUCCGCUCUCCCUUCCCCAGUCCCGAUGUGGCUGCCAGGAAUGGUCCCUGUGGCUGCAGCUGGCGUUGUCUCAAGAGGUAGCGACCUUUGGCGGGUAUGACCGAAGACUAGAGGUGUUUGGAAGCCUCUGGAAGGACUGCUGAAGGGUGCAGGGACACAAUGCUGGACAGUCAUGAGAAUGUGGUCCCUCGGGGAUCCUUCUUACAGCUCUCCAUGAUGCCCCAGAAAGCUGGAAAUGACUCCCCUGGUGUUUCCAGCACAAGUGAAACGGAAAGGGAGAUAAGUAACAUGAGAGAAAAGUUUCUUACAAGUGUGACAAAGUUAGUAGAAAGCAAAAGUUACAACAGCAAGGUAUUUUCCAAAGAAAAGUACUUUCAAACAAUAAAGGAAGUCAAAGAAGCCAAGGAAAAGGGGAAGAAGUCAUCACGUGACUACCGCCGCGCAGCAAAAUAUGACGUGAUCUCCGUGCAAGGCACGGAGAAGCUAAUAGAGGCCGCUCACAGGGAACGUGAUCGAAUACGGUAUUACGUACAUAAGGAAGAGUUGUUUGACAUUCUUCACGACACACAUCUCAAUAUUGGACACGGUGGGCGGACACGGAUGCUCAAGGAGCUACAAGGAAAAUAUGGGAAUGUCACCAAAGAAGUCAUUGUCUUGUACCUGACACUGUGUAAACAGUGCCACCAGAAGAACCCAGUGCCCAAGAGAGGUCUUGCGCCCAAGCCCAUGCCUUUUAAGGACAUCGACUCCAGGUGCCAAGUUGAAGUACUUGACAUGCAGUCAAAUGCCGACGGUGAGUUCAAGUUUAUUUUGUAUUACCAGGACCACUUGACCAAGUUUAUCAUCUUACGACCGUUAAGAGCUAAACAGGCCCACGAGGUGGUCAGCGUCCUGUUGGAUAUUUUCACAAUUCUCGGUACCCCUGGCGUGUUAGAAUCUGACAGCGGCGUAGAGUUCACAAACCAGGUUGUUAAUGAGCUCAAUGAGGUAUGGCCGGAGCUGAAGAUCGUCUGUGGUCAGCACCACCCUGGCCAAGGCCAGGGCUCCCUGGAGCGAGCAAGCCGUGACGUCAAGAACAUGAUACGUGCCUGGAUGCAGAGUCACCGCUCACGCCGCUGGGCCGAAGGCCUGCGAUUUGUGCAGCUGGCGAGGAAUCAGGUGUUCGACGUUUCCUUGCAGCAAAGUCCAUACGAAGCGAUGUUUGGCUGUAAGGCCAAACUCGGCCUGUACUCCUCACACUUACCCCGCGAAACCGUGGCCGUCUUACAGACAGAGGAAGAGCUGGAAAUUGCGGAAAAACAGCUAGAAAGCAGCCUUUGGAUCAGGCAGGAAGAAAGGACUGAGAUGGGAGCAGACAGAUCUGAUAUGGAUGAGGACAUCGAUCCCACGCCUCCGGAACCUACAGAGCCCAGCACCUCACAGGGGGCCCCAGGCCUCUUCUGCUGGUGAACGGGCGCCUGCUGGGUGCUGUCCAGCCAUCUGAGAACUGUCGCCAGAUUCCCCGGGGAAAGGAACAUGAAGGCUGUGCUCUCCACAGUCGCUCACGUUGUCCACGGCAGUGCUUGCAACGAGGGGAAAAGCGGGCCGGGUCCGUAACAGAUGACCACAAACUUAGCGGCUUAACAGGAAUAUACACUUUGGCAGCUCUGGAGGCCAGAAUUUCAAGAUCAAGGUGUCGGCAGGGCUUGUUGCUUCUGGAAGCUUGGAGAGAAUCCGUCCCGUGCCUUUCUCCUCUCCCUGGUGGCCGCUGGCAGUCCUCUGCGUUCCUUGGCUUCCUCGAGUCUCUGCCUCAUCUUCACGUGGAGCUUCGCCUGGACUUUCCCCCUCUGUCUCUCUGCGAUCUCCUUUUCUGUCUCUUAAAAGGACACCACGGCAUACCAACCCCAUGCCAUUGGAUUUAAGGUCCUCCCCUAUCAGGGAUGAUCUCCUCUCGACAUCCUCACCUUAAUCGUAUCUGCAAAGACCCUUUGUCCAAGUGAGGUCCAAUUCACGGGUGUUGGGGAUUUGGACUUGGACAUACCUUUCUUGGGACACAGUUCUACCAACUACAGCCAGUAGAAGAGUAUUUCUGCCUGCAGAACAUGAACCGAUGGGGUCUUAAGUGUGGUGCCCUACGUACAUCUAGUACGUAUUCCUUCUGCCAAGCCCCCUUCCUCAGACAACAUCCCGAAGGGUGGGGGCAUCGGAGGAAGAGGUGUAGUGAGAAAAGAGGAGAGCGGCCACCUCGGCAUCUGAGCUCUAUUUCCUGCUUCAAGAAGAACUGUAUGUGCCACCCCUGCUGUCACAAUGGCAUGCGCAGGCAACUGUGACCUGCCUGAAACUUAUUUUAAAAGGUCAGAAUUAAGGCAUGGCUGGGAUUUGGGUCUGAAUCUGCCAGUGGUCUGUGCCUCAAGAAUAGAAAAGCGUGUCUGUCUGGAGCAGGUCAGUGCGUUCUAGGAAGUGACCGGUAGCCAGGGAAGCAACCGGAGACCGGAGCAAAGUGCAGACGUUGGCCGGAGGUCACGGCUCCACCCAGAGAAUGGAGCAAAGGCCAGUCUGGGUCACGGUUCAGAGUAGGGAUCGCCAGCCUGGCCGAAGAGAACGAAGAUCCCCUGGAUCUGUGUUCUGCUGUAUUCCCAAGGCCCAGACGAAUCCCUAGCCCAUCAGAGGUGUUCGGUAAGGAUUUGUUGUGGGAACAGGAGAUUCUGCAGAGACAGGUACCGGGAAGGAGGGGCCUGAAGUCGUCAUUCUCCCGGGCCACCCUUCCUGCAUGUCCUGGAGCCAUCCGAACGAAGCCCAUUCUGCUCACCCCCUAGUGCCAGGUUCCUCCGUGAGGGGCGGCACCGACCCCCGCCUGCAGGAGGGGAGACACUGCCCGCCUAGUGACACUGGGUGCUGGUGAGAGCCCGUGAGACAAUGUGCGUGAAGGGGCCUUCUCUGAACACCGAAGUGGGAGUUGUCCCUGCCCCCAGCAGAUCCCACCCCUCACGUGAAAGCCGGAGACCUCCCCCGUUCCUUUGCUGGUUAAACAUUGCCUCGAUGGGUAUCCAGGGAGGCCACGUUAUCCCUAGAAAGGAGGUGAUACCAUUUUGCAGCUUGUUUGGGGGUCUGGGAGGCCGAGCUUUCUAAUGUUACCGCCCCUCCCCCAUACUGACCGACUACCUCCUCGUUGCCCGCGAGCCAGGAGCCACAUGGUCAACUCGUGUGGGUGAGAGGUGAGGCAGCUGUAUUCGUUUCCUGGGGCUGCCCUAACGAACGGGGGCAGGUCGGUGCUUCAACAACAGAAAUGUAUCGUGUCACAGUUCUGGAAGCCAGAAGUCCCAAGAUCGAGGUGCCAGCAGUCUCCUUCGUAGUAUCCACCGUUGCGUUGAAUUUGAACCGCGACACCGGCUCUGUUGGCGAGCUCCUUGCUCAAAAUAGCUUCUCCACACCUAGAACUUUGGCCUCAGAUUUCUGGUCACUUUGAGCCACUUCCCUUGACGUGACAACAUAAGCGAUCAGCAGCACUGAGUACAGCAGUACACGGUUCUCUGAAGGACAUCACCUCUCUUUCCGCCUUCCUCCUGAUGCGACGGCAGGAACCCCGGAAAUGGCUGCCUUAAAUGUAGGGACCCUAGGAUCUGGCCUCCACGCACAACCCAGAUCACCAGGAAUAACCCAGUCCUGAAACACUGCCCCUCUGCCCGAACCGGGAUUGGGCCGGGCCGGACGCCGGGAAGCUUCUCCAGAUGCAGCCACUGUCUGUGGCAGGAAGAGGGCCUCCCCGAAAUCUGUCGUCAGGCUCGGCUUGUCCUCUUCCGUCCCUCCUCACACCCUCUACUUCCCUGGCCUGUCGCUUUCAUCCAUCCCUCCAGUGUCUAGAGACACAACUGUGUGCCGGGCUCAUGCUGGUCUUCGGAGGCACCAUCCCGUAAGCGGUCAUGGUAAUGCGCCCGGUGCCGAAAUGGAGACCCGGCAAAGACGUCUGGGUCUGUGAAAGGUUGCGCAGUGCACGCCCCGCACAGAGGCCAUGUAAGCGGAGUGUGGAAAAGAUGGUUUGCAGCUCGCUCACCAAUGUUCUCCGUUCCGCCCACUUUGGAUCAGAGGACUUCUUACAGGAGAAAUACGAUUGGCCGGAGGCCACCUUCACCCAGUGAUCAAGUUAACACCCCCGCCCCCGCCCCCAUAUUCGUACAGCACAACACCAUUUCCAUGCUGUUUCUACCCAAAAUACAGUACCUGAAUCUCAUUAUGAAGAAACAAGAGAGAAGCCCAGAUUGAGGGCUUACAAAACAGCUGGUCCGUACUCUUCAAAAAUUCAAAAAGGCCAAAGUUAACAAAAGACAAAGACUAAAGGGGGGAAAAGAAAGAAAGGGAGGGAGGGAGGAAGGAAGGAAGGAAGGAAGGAAUACCAAGGAGCUGUCCCAGUUCCAGGACUUUCUUUUGCUAUCAUGGACAUCACUGGGACAACUGGCCAGAUCUGACCAUUGUCUGAAGGUUAUAGUGUUUUAUCAGGGUUAAUCUCCUGAUCUUGAGAAUUGUACUAUGGUUAUGUAAGAGUCUCUAGGAAAUACACACUAGAGUAUCUGAGGGUAAA